rnacentral:rRNA from 1 species
UACGGGGGGGGGCAAGCGUUGUUCGGAAUUACUGGGCGUAAAGGGCUCGUAGGUGGCCAACUAAGUCAGACGUGAAAUCCCUCAGCUUAACCGGGGAACUGCGUCUGAUACUGGAUGGCUUGAGUUCGGGAGAGGGAUGCGGAAUUCCAGGUGUAGCGGUGAAAUGCGUAGAUAUCUGGAGGAACACCGGUGGCGAAGGCGGCAUCCUGGACCGAUACUGACGCUGAGGAGCGAAAGCCAGGGGAGCAAACGGG